AGGAGGCUGUAGACGAAGCGCCUGAAGUAUAAUUGGUCGCCUCCCAGGCGCGCUAGGCACUUACCCGCUCUGCGAUUCCGUCUCGUGAUUCUAGUUUACAGUUAGUAAACCAUGGUGAAGAAUGUCUGGCUGGAUUGUGGCCACCUUAUUGAAGGCAGGUCACCGCGGCGUAUGAACAAUACUCGUGCUGCCUACAGUAUGGAGGCUUUCCGUUAUCUCCGGAUGUCUACAUGUACGUGAGCGGCGACGAUAGUAACGGCAUCGCGAUCGCAAUCUUCAAACCGGCCGGAGUCCGGCCUCCAGCACCACCAAUGCCGCCACCACCACCAUACGGAUUGGUGAAAAGAUCAUCCGUGGAGCAGCGGCAUGGCAUGCUAUGCAAGAGCAGGAGAAUCCCCCAGCACCUCUGCCGCCAUCGCCAGCUCCCAGACAGCGGAGACAGCGGAGAGACAGCGGCGAUGGCAGCAGAGGCUUUCUGAUGCACACAUGGACAACAUGGAGGAAACGGAUGUUUGAGUGCCCUGACUGGAGUGAAUACCCCAGCUGCCAUGGCCUCUCGUUUGUCAGUGGUUGCUACUAGACCUUCUAGUAUCACACUCGCGACUACAAGAUUCGUGGUGCACAUGGACAUCGCCAUCAGUGAGGCCUCCCGCUGUCAAUCCUGUUGAGGGGCGGACAGGUCGGUGUGAAUCCUGAACGGCAACCGAGCCCGUCGCGUUGGAGGAUCUCAGCGCUGCUUCAGCUGCUACCUCCUCAGUCACUGCCAUCGUUGAAAGUUUCGUCCACAAAGCACUCAUCUAUCAUUCCUUCCUACGCUCCGUGACAUAUAUAACUCACUUUCAGCCUCACUUUCUUUUUACAUGCAUAUCUCCAGUAAUUGGGAUUUGUAUUGUGAAACCAUACUGACAUGAUAGUUUUAUACAAUUCACAUCCCAGUAAGCCAUGAACGGAGACCCCCUCGACUUAGGCCUCGGCCUUUGGGGAAUGCAUAAAAAAAUAAAUAACAUGGCGUGCGACAGCUAGCCGCUUGCACCUCUUUCCCUUAUGCAUGUAAUAUCUUGCACAUAACCCCGCUUGCCGUCGCGUCAUUAAUUUUCAUUUCCCUCACGUAUUCUAAGCGCCUGUAGCCAUCACAGCGCGUGGAAUAUUGCACCUUGCAGUUGCACCGGUUUGUUGGUACAUUGCAGGGCAAGUAUCUCCCCAUCUUCUAACUACUUACUAUUAUUUCUUUUAAACCUUUCUCACAUUAUGCGGUAAUACAGUCACCCUUGCGCCUUUAAUGAGAUUAUAAGUUUUGUAACUUUCAAUUCGGACUUUGUAGCCCAAUAGUUAUUGGUGUGUUCUCUAGAUCACUAUUCGAUGUAUAUGUAGAUUCACUGAUGACCAUCAAGGAAAAACGUUUUAUGGAUUAUUCUUUUCAUCAGAAGACAUAGCACCAAACUUCA